AUUGAACGCUGGCGGCAUGCCUUACACAUGCAAGUCGAACGGUAACAGGUCUUCGGAUGCUGACGAGUGGCGAACGGGUGAGUAAUACAUCGGAACGUGCCUAGUAGUGGGGGAUAACUACUCGAAAGAGUGGCUAAUACCGCAUGAGAUCUACGGAUGAAAGCAGGGGAUCGCAAGACCUUGUGCUACUAGAGCGGCCGAUGGCAGAUUAGGUAGUUGGUGGGAUAAAAGCUUACCAAGCCGACGAUCUGUAGCUGGUCUGAGGGGACGAUCAGCCACACUGGGACUGAGACACGGCCCAGACUCCUACGGGAGUCAGCAGUGGGGAAUUUUGGACAAUGGGCGCAAGCCUGAUCCAGCAAUGCCGCGUGCAGGAUGAAGGCCUUCGGGUUGUAAACUGCUUUUGUACGGAACGAAAAGCCCUGGGUUAAUACCCUGGGGUCAUGACGGUACCGUAAGAAUAAGCACCGGCUAACUACGUGCCAGCCGCCGCCGUAAGAC
rnacentral:rRNA from 1 species